UACGUAGGAUCCGAGCGUUGUUCGGAUUCACUGGGCGUAAAGGGUGCGUAGGCGGUUGGACAAGUCUGAUGUGAAAUCCCGCAGCUUAACUGCGGAACUGCAUUGGAAACUGUCCGACUAGAGGAAUGGAGGGGAGACUGGAAUACUUGGUGUAGCAGUGAAAUGCGUAGAUAUCAAGUGGAACACCAGUGGCGAAGGCGAGUCUCUGGACAUUUCCUGACGCUGAGGCACGAAAGCCAGGGGAGCAAACGGG
rnacentral:rRNA from 1 species